rnacentral:rRNA from 1 species
AGCGAACGCUGGCGGCAGGCUUAACACAUGCAAGUCGAGCGGGCCCUUCGGGGUCAGCGGCAGACGGGUGAGUAACACGUGGGAACGUACCCUUUGGUUCGGAAUAACGCUGGGAAACUAGCGCUAAUACCGGAUACGCCCUUUUGGGGAAAGGCUUGCUGCCGAAGGAUCGGCCCGCGCCUGAUUAGCUAGUUGGUGGGGUAAUGGCCUACCAAGGCGACGAUCAGUAGCUGGUCUGAGAGGAUGAUCAGCCACACUGGGACUGAGACACGGCCCAGACUCCUACGGGAGGCAGCAGUGGGGAAUAUUGGACAAUGGGCGCAAGCCUGAGCCAGCCAUGCCGCGUGAGUGAUGAAGGCCUUAGGGUUGUAAAGCUCUUUUGUCCGGGACGAUAAUGACGGUACCGGAAGAAUAAGCCCCGGCUAACUUCGUG